GAUGAAGAACGUAGCGAAAUGCGAUAAGUAGUGUGAAUUGCAGAAUUCAGUGAAUCAUCGAAUCUUUGAACGCACAUUGCGCCCCUUGGUAUUCCAUGGGGCAUGCCUGUUCGAGCGUUAUUUGUACCUUCAAGCUUUGCUUGGUGUUGGGUGUUUGUCUCGCCUUUGCGUGUAGACUCGCCUUAAAAUAAUUGGCAGCCGGCGUAUUGAUUUCGGAGCGCAGUACAUCUCGCGCUUUGCACUCAUAACGACAGCGUCCAAAAGUACAUUUUACACUCUUGACCUCGGAUCAGGUAGGGAUACCCGCUGAACUUAAGCAUAUCAAUAAGCGGAGGA
rnacentral:misc_RNA from 1 species